rnacentral:rRNA from 1 species
CGGGAGGCAGCAGUGAGGAAUAUUGGACAAUGGGCGAGAGCCUGAUCCAGCCAUGCCGCGUGCAGGAUGACUGCCUUAUGGGUUGUAAACUGCUUUUAUACAGGAAGAAACUGCUCUACGUGUAGAGCCCUGACGGUACUGUAAGAAUAAGGAUCGGCUAACUCCGUGCCAGCAGCCGCGGUAAUACGGAGGAUCCAAGCGUUAUCCGAAAUCAUUGGGUUUAAAGGGUCCGUAGGUGGAUAAUUAAGUCAGAGGUGAAAUCCUGCAGCUCAACUGUAGAAUUGCCUUUGAUACUGGUUAUCUUGAGUUACUAUGAAGUAGUUAGAAUAUGUAGUGUAGCGGUGAAAUGCAUAGAUAUUACAUAGAAUACCAAUUGCGAAGGCAGAUUACUAAUAGUACACUGACACUGAUGGACGAAAGCGUGGUGAGCGAACAGGAUUAGAUACCCUGGUAGUCCACGCCCUAAACGAUGUUUACUCG